GUCAAGGUAUGCCAGCAAACCUGGUGGCUAAAAGCAUUUAAAAUCAGUGUAAAUACACGUGGCUAAUUGAACAGAAAACAUCACAUUAGUGAAGUGCCACCAUCUUCAACAGAACCAUUCAAUAGAGGCACAUUAUUGUCUUCAGUAAAGCAGAGCUCUUGCCUAUAUCCCGUAUCUUAAAUGAGUACUUAAUGAAGCUAAGGACUUCAGGAAGAAGAGUUGAUCCCACAGGAGUGUUGAGGAUUUCACAUUCUUCAGACAAAGCCACCAUGCGGGAAACAGAAGCUAUUUCAGGAAACAGAGACAAGUCAGUCUCAAACUAACACUUGCAGAGUUAGAAACAAAGCUGUGACCUUGCAGGCACCAAAGCAAUAGGCAGAGCUGUAAUUAUACAUCCAUCCCUCAGCUUAAACAAAGUGAGAAGUGUGGACAUGGGUUCAGAGUUUAGUGCAGUACUCAGAUUUAAUUUUUUCCUGAUUAUAUUAUUCCUCUACUAUUACAAAGCUUCUGUAUCUUUCUUAAGUGAAGGUUUAACCUAUACUAAGGUAGCACUUUGAAGUUCCACACAGGAUUACUCCUCUAUUUCACUGGGGG